CCAGGUGGGGUAAACGGAGAUAGAGAAGGGGUCGGUCAGGAGAUGCCGUUGGCAUAGUCACAGGAUACCGCACAUCUGCCCCGGGUGGUGGCGGCAGGCAGGCAGGGCUGGGGUCCGAGGGACCGGGAAGGAGCCCCUGUGGGAGGUGAGCCUGGGUGUCAGCCACGGCCUGCGGGUUUCCGCGUGUGGGUCCAUGUGGGAGUCACAGGGCGAGGAGUGACUUCGGCAGCAAAAUGCCUGUGUUUACAGGCUGGGCUAGAUGUCUGGAGCUUAUCUCUCUGUGGAAAUCCUUGUCACCCACUUGAGUAGCAUUUCCCUCUGUUUGUCCUUCUGAAAUGUCCUACAGGGAAGUGUCCCCCUGGGGCAGCGCCUGUAGCGACCUGGACGUUGGAGAAUGGGCUGGAUGCGAUGGGUGCGGAGAUCUUUCCGGAAGAAGCCCCGUCUGCUGCAGACCACAGCGCCAGCUUCCCGGCAGAUGCACUGGCCCCGGCGAGAGCUGGAGCGGCGGCGGGGAGGCCCACGGCCAGGAGCACGGUGCUCAGGAAGAAGGAGGCCCAGGCGCCAGCAAGGCUGCCUCAGGGUCUCCACAAGGCUGAAAGUAGACCGACCCGGUCUCAGAGCAGAAGCCGGUUGCAGCGCACGACAGUAUCGUCCAGACUGAAAAUGAACCAGCAGCCUGUGAGAGACAACAGGGCCCCUUGGGUGCCUCCAAACCCCACGUCCCCACCAGCAUCCCCUAAGUGCGCUGCCUGGCUGAAGGUGAAGCCGAGCCCCAGAGACGCCAGAAAGGAACAGUCACUGCAGCAGGACGAGGCCCAGGAGGAGACGUUGACGGGGGCGGUCGUGCAGGAAGCAGUGAGACUCGCUUGGCUCGACGCGGAAACCUGUAAGACAUUGAAGGAGCUGGAGGACCUGAAAGCUGAGGGCUCGGACAAGACGCAGAGGCGGAGUGUCUCGGACACCCAGUUAGCAGACAAGGUGGAGAAGGCGGUCCUGGAGCGUUUGAAGCCUCUCCUGGUCAAGGCCCAGAGAGUCAACUCUUCUCUGGAAGCAGACCCUCAGCUGAAGGACCGGCCGUCGGCAGACACGGCGACCGCCCGGCUCACAGAGGAGGCUGCGGCUGUGGACUGUGCACCCCACAGCCUUUGCCAGCUGGGGGACUCUUUGGGAGAUGCCGCUCAUGGGCCCCGGGUUGCGACCCACCGUGGGGUUUUGGAGUCGGAAGCCUCAGCUCCCGUGGGGGACGGCAGGGACAGCCCGUACCUGGAGACCCUGAUGCUGCGGAUGGAGGAGAUGGAGAAAUACCAGGAGGCGGUUCGCCAAAGAUACAAUAAAAUUGUAUAUGCUGACCCUCACCUUUGGACGCAGGAAGGAGAGACGGAGCAAACACUCCCAGCAGUAAGUGAAAGGCCUCUUUCUCCUCAUCCAAUCAGGAUCACAAAGACCUCAGCUCUCAAAGACCCAGACGUGAGCAUCGUGUUGGAAAGACCCCAGAAUGGCAAUUCCCUGGAUGAAAGUGUGGGGACUGACGAGGGGUCUGAGAAGAGAGGGGCUCCCCUUGCGCCCCUUCCAGAAGAGUGUCCGCAGAAGGAAGGCCGGGCUGCCCUGCACGUGCCCCUGGCUCUGCGGCACAGCAUUGGCGACUACUGCAGCCGCUUCGAGCGGUACCUCCGUCUGGUUGCGCACGAGGCCGUGGGCGCCUUUAACCCGUGGCUGAUGGCCGAGAGGCACGUGACCUGCGUGACCGCAAAGAAACAUCAGACAAGCCCAGAUUGGGGCACAUUCCACAAAUGAAGGCCCUGCUCUUUCGGAAAAUGUCAAGGUCCGGAAAGACAGGCUGAGGGACGCCUGCAGACUCGCGGGGGAGCUGGAGAGGCGGCGGGCAGCGGCUGGCCUGGGCUGGGUCCUGCUCCAGAGCAGACGCUGUGUGGACACUUGGCGGACGUGAGCACGUGUCUUGUCCGCAGCCACCUUGGGGGUUCCUGUCUCAGAGGAGCUUCUCCGACCAGCUGGUAGACGAGGCUCUGGGUGCCGUGGCUGCGGAGCUGGAGGACGCGUGCGAGGACUACGCGGAAGCCGUGUUCACCUCGGAGUUCCUGGAGGCCGCGACCUGAAGGCGCUGCCUCCGCGGCGGACCUCCUCCCCGGGUCUUGAGCUCGGCUGGCCCUCUGUGCCUCUGGGGUGCUCCCCGUGGGGGAGGGGGCCCCUCUUUGCAUCUUCUCGUGGUCCUGGCGACGGCUCUGGUGGUUGAUGAUGGAGGGCGAGGUGUUUCUCUGUGCCCGGGACUUGUGAAUUAUGACAAUAUAAUAGUUUCCGUAACUAUUCCCACGGUUAUUACCGUAACGCAUAACUUUCCCACUGACAUCCUGUGUUCAUUCCGCUGCCGAGUCUGGUGACCCGAGCGUUUGGAAAGGUGCCGGCAGGUGUGUUUCUCUCGAGGGCCCACGUUGCUGCUGAACCGCCAAUGCCCUUGGUGCCCCGAGUUCGCUUCCACCUGUCCCGGCCACGCCACAGCAUGCAGAUGGAGCCCGCAAGCCCUCGGCGUGUGGCGCCCCUGCCGAUCUCGGCCUCUGGCAGCCCUCCGCAUCGCGGCCUGCAGCCUUUUCUUGCCCUGAUGGAUGUGUUCUGAUGUCCAAACCGUCGGCACAUGGGCGCCAUCGGAGGCCGACGGGAGAGUCCUGAGCUGGCAUCCUGUGUGCGGGGCCAGCACGUUCCACGCCUGCUGACCCACAAGGAGCCCGGGCGGGAGGAGAGGACCGGCCUGGGUGCAGGAAGCCCUCCGGUCCCCCGAGAGAGAAAAACACAUAAGAGCCACAGUAGCUCGGUCCUCUCGUCCCCUCCAAACUGUUUCACCGAGGAAAUUCUCUGAUUUUUCAGAGAAAGAAAAGAAAUGUGCAUAAAAAUAAGGCCACUUCCUGGAAAAAGUGUCCCUCCGUGCGGCCUGGGCUCGGAGGAGCCGUGAAGGGUGAGUGACGCCAGGCUAGCCUGUGGAUAAUGUGAAUCUUUGUGACGCGUGCGGUGUUGCGUCUGGACUUUUCUCUGCAGCGUGUGUCUGAGGUGAGCGCGUGAGCGGCUGGGUCGCGUGUGUCAGCGGACCUUCUCCUGCAGCCUUGGCAUCACGGAGGCUCUCGGGUUAAAGGUCUUCAUCGUGCCAGUGACGCGUGUGCCCAAGUCGACGGCGGCGUCCGUAGCGUGGAGUAGUUUGUGUGGCAGUUUGUACUGCGCUGACUUUUUAAAUAAACUCAGGAUUUUACAGUAU